rnacentral:lncRNA from 10 species
UACCCAUCCCAUCUCUUCAUCCAAGCAGAGCUGUGGAUCACACCGCUGUAGUACCCCAGCCUCUCUACUGCUCCCAGAGCACAUCCACACACUUUGAACCCUGACCUUGAAGCUCUGAUUCCUGAGUCCUAGUUGAAAGGGCCUCGCAACAACCCAUGAGAUCGGUGAUGACUGCCCCCAUUUGCCAGCUUUGCAGGGAGAGGUCAAGACCAAGACGAUCUUCAGGCCCAAGGGAGGCAGGGAGGAGGCUUGCAAAGCCCACCCCUGGGAAGAGGCCUCGCAACAACCCACGAGAUCUGUGAUGACUGCCCCCAUUUGCCAGAUGAGAAGCUGAGGCUCGGAGAUAUUGAGGAAUCUGUCGAGCGUGGUAGGGAGGGGAUGUGGGAGUCAAAUCUGGGUCAGAAUGGCUUUAAGACAUUUUCUUUGCCUUGGGCCACAGCUGCCUCUUCCUUGUUUAUGUUGUGGUUUUGGAGGAGGUAAAGGGACCCCAUCACUUCAAGUCCCUCCUCUGGGAAGGAGACCUCGUUCCUAGGUCCUUACUCUGUAGCUACUCAAUCAGGCCAGGGCCUCAG